CUCCAAAUGAAAUAAACCAGUUGCAGAAGGAUAAACGCUGCAUGAGGAUUUGGACAAAGAUGCUGAACCACUGGGAAGUAUGUGGAAUACAGAGCCCAUUGUGGGAUUUGACUGCCUGGCAAAAGUAUAUUUUAUGUGUGUCAGUGACUUUCAACUUGUAAAGAAUGCCUCUGUGCAGAAGAGGAGGUGCCAGCAAAAGCAACUGGGAGAAGAGAUCGGAAGGGAGACGUGGCAACCCAUGGAGACAAGAAGAGGGGGCCUGGCUGGCUGCACUGCAGCUCCUCUGGAGUGAUCGCAAGAAUGAGGCCCAACUCUAAAUCUGAUUUCACCUUCCUAAAGAUAUCCAUUGCUUACGUGGCAAAACCCACUUCCUCAGUUAUAA